rnacentral:rRNA from 1 species
AACGAACGCUGGCGGCAUGCUUAACACAUGCAAGUCGAACGAGGGCUUCGGCCCUAGUGGCGAACGGGUGAGUAACGCGUGGGAACCUGCCUUGGAGUGGGGGAUAACCACUGGAAACGGUGGCUAAUACCGCAUAUGGCCUGAGGGUCAAAGGCUUCGGCCGCUUUGAGAGGGGCCCGCGUCCGAUUAGCUAGUUGGUGGGGUAACGGCCUACCAAGGCUUCGAUCGGUAGCUGGUCUGAGAGGAUGAUCAGCCACACUGGGACUGCGACACGGCCCAGACUCCUACGGGAGGCAGCAGUGGGGAAUAUUGGACAAUGGGCGAAAGCCUGAUCCAGCAAUGCCGCGUGCGUGAUGAAGGCCUUCGGGUUGUAAAGCGCUUUCGCCCACGACGAUGAUGACGGUAGUGGGAGAAGAAGCCCCGGCUAACUCCGUGCCAGCCGCCGCCGUAACAC